AGAGGUCAAAAUAUCAGGGUAGUUUUAAUGAGAGUUAUAGUGGCUCACAGUUCAAAGGCAGUAUUUCUCAGGGUAGUUACCCUCUACAUUAUAUGUAUUAAUAUAAGGGUCAACCUUGUAGGCUCGUUCAUACUAUCCUUCAGAUAUCGAUAGACGCUAGUCUAGUUAUAGUUAUCAUCCUAACCAAAGUAUUGUUCGGGCUUCAAAGGGUUCAUCUUUUCACUAUUCUAACCAAGAUGGUUAUUUUGGGUCAGCUAGAUCUUUUGGUUUUAGUGUA
rnacentral:lncRNA from 1 species